AGGACGAACGCUGGCGGCGUGCUUAACACAUGCAAGUCGAGCGGAAAGGCCACUUCGGUGGUACUCGAGCGGCGAACGGGUGAGUAACACGUGAGUAAUCUGCCCCUGGCUUUGGGAUAGCCACCGGAAACGGUGAUUAAUACCGGAUACGACCGCUCCUCGCAUGAGGUGGUGGUGGAAAGUUUUUCGGCCAGGGAUGUGCUCGCGGCCUAUCAGCUUGAUGGUGAGGUAAUGGCUCACCAUGGCUUCGACGGGUAGCCGGCCUGAGAGGGUGACCGGUCACACUGGGACUGAGACACGGCCCAGACUCCUACGGGAGGCAGCAGUGGGGAAUAUUGGACAAUGGGCGGAAGCCUGAUCCAGCAACGCCGCGUGAGGAUGACGGCCUCGGGUUGUAACCUCUUCGCCUGUGACGUAAGUUUGUUCUUUUGGUCUAAAGUGACGUAACGAGGUAAAGAAGCACCGACCAACUACGUGCCAGCAGCCGC
rnacentral:rRNA from 1 species